UUGCUUUCUUCAGCAUCACAUAUACUAAAAAUGGAACGAAGCACAAAAAUUUAGCACGAUUCCUGUGCAGUAAUGACAUGCAAGUUUGUGAAGCAGUCCAUAUUUUC
ensembl:snRNA U6 U6 spliceosomal RNA